rnacentral:rRNA from 1 species
UACCAGCACCCCGAGUGGUCGGGACGUUUAUUGGGCCUAAAGCAUCCGUAGCCGGUUCUACAAGUCUUCCGUUAAAUCCACCUGCUUAACGGAUGGGCUGCGGGGGAUACCGCAGAGCUAGGAGGCGGGAGAGGCAAACGGUACUCAGUGGGUAGGGGUAAAAUCCAUUGAUCUACUGAAGACCACCAGUGGCGAAGGCGGUUUGCCAGAACGCGCUCGACGGUGAGGGAUGAAAGCUGGGGGAGCAAACCGG